UACGUAGGGGGCAAGCGUUGUCCGGAUUUAUUGGGCGUAAAGAGCGUGUAGGCGGUCAGGUAGGUCGGUUGUGAAAACUGGAGGCUCAACCUUCAGAGGUCGACCGAAACCCCCUGGCUAGAGUCCGGGAGAGGAGAGUGGAAUUCCUGGUGUAGCGGUGAAAUGCGCAGAUAUCAGGAAGAACACCCGUGGCGAAAGCGGCUCUCUGGAACGGUACUGACGCUGAGGAGCGAAAGCGUGGGGAGCGAACAGG
rnacentral:rRNA from 1 species